AAUUGAGACAGGUGGUGCAUGGUUGUCGUCAGCUCGUGUCGUGAGAUGUUGGGUUAAGUCCCGCAACGAGCGCAACCCUUGUGUUUAGUUGCAAACAGGUCAAGCUGUGCACUCUAGACAGACUGCCGUGGACAACACGGAGGAAGGUGGGGAUGACGUCAAAUCAUCAUGCCCCUUAUGAUCUGGGCUACACACGUGCUACAAUGGCCGGUACAACGGGCAGCGAAGGAGCGAUCCGGAGCGAAUCCUAAAAAGCCGGUCCCAGUUCGGAUUGCAGGCUGAAACUCGCCUACAUGAAGUUGGAGUUGCUAGUAAUCGCGAAUCAGAAUGUCGCGGUGAAUGCGUUCCGGGUCUU
rnacentral:rRNA from 1 species